rnacentral:rRNA from 1 species
UACGUAGGGGGCAAGCGUUGUCCGGAUUUACUGGGCGUAAAGAGCGUGUAGGCGGUCAGGUAGGUCGGUUGUGAAAACUGGAGGCUCAACCUUCAGAGGUCGACCGAAACCCCCUGGCUAGAGUCCGGGAGAGGAGAGUGGAAUUCCUGGUGUAGCGGUGAAAUGCGCAGAUAUCAGGAAGAACACCCGUGGCGAAAGCGGCUCUCUGGAACGGUACUGACGCUGAGACGCGAAAGCGUGGGGAGCGAACAGG